rnacentral:rRNA from 1 species
UACAGAGGGGGCGAGCGUUGUUCGGAAUUACUGGGCGUAAAGAGCUCGUAGGUGGUUUGUCGCGUUGUCCGUGAAAACUCACAGCUCAACUGUGGGCGUGCGGGCGAUACGGGCAGACUGGAGUACUGCAGGGGAGACUGGAAUUCCUGGUGUAGCGGUGGGAAUGCGCAGAUAUCAGGAGGAACACCGGUGGCGAAGGCGGGGAUCCUGGGCCAGUACUGACGCUGAGGAGCGAAAGCGUGGGGAGCAAACAGG